rnacentral:rRNA from 1 species
UACAGAGGUCCCAAGCGUUGUUCGGAAUUACUGGGCGUAAAGCGUGCGCAGGCGGCUUCUCAAGUCAGGGGUGAAAGCCCAGAGCUCAACUCUGGAAUUGCCUUUGAGACUGAGUGGCUUGAGUACGAGAGAGGUGAGUGGAAUUCCCAGUGUAGUAGGUGAAAUUCGUAGAUAUUGGGAAGAACACCGGUGGCGAAGGCGGCUCACUGGCUCGUAACUGACGCUCAUGCACGACAGCGUGGGGAUCAAACAGG